CUUGCCAGCAAAUUUCAUCGCCUCCGUCUUUAACAAAUCUAAAAUUUUAAAAAUAUUAAAAUUAUUUUUACUGCGGACCAGGAAUCCCAAGAAUCUUGUUCCAUUUAAAGGAUCAAACAACAGUUUAGCAGGCCCAAUCUGCAUUCACACACACACACCCACAGUAGAAAAAACUAGAACUUGGAGAAGGAAAACCGUAGCUUAGCUCAGUUUUUUACAGUAAAAUUCUUACCUAUGUCAAAUCUAGAUCUUCACCCAUGGACUGCCUUGGUUAAUGAGCACUGAGCCAUUAACCUUGCACUUGCAGCUGAUAUGGUCGCUGAUACAAGGACAGUAACACCAGCAAAGCUCAUCGUGAGAGAGAGAAAAUAUUCGCAACAAAAGCCCAUCUUUGUAUUGAAAUGAUAAAGUAAUUACAAUGAUGAACAGUUUCCCAGAUACAAGCCAUAAUCUCUAAAGCAGAUCAGUACAACGAUCGAGCUCAACUCAUUAAUCCUGAUGUGUAACUUAGAAACAUGAAUGGUUGCUAAGAAAGACACAGGAUUUACGUGAUUCAGCCCAAAUGGAAGUUAGGAAGAGUGCCUUACACAAGAUACUAUGAAUUCAAGGAUCCCCUCCAGGGACCUAUAUUUGGACAACUAUAGUGAAGGUUACAAUGAUGUGAACCCGAGUUUUCCCCUUAGUUUGAAUUGAAAUGUCAUGUAGUGAUUAUAAUGGAGCUUACUUCUGGCUGGUUUUGGCUCGAAGCUUUUGCUCCAACACGGCUACUUCUAUCUCAAGGCUAAACAUUCUGUUAAGAGCAUGCAUGUUCUCAAGGGUUUCACUUAGAGUUCGGCUGUCACUGCCAUCACAUCUCAGGUGCUGCAUUGGACCAUGAAGGAGCUUGUUAACUAUACCACGGCUAAGAUCAUCCACGGCUCUCCUUGUUUUCUUUGGGAUAUCCUCACCCAUUUUUGAAAGGCAUUUAUCUAGUUCCCCAGCUCUGAUUCUUUCAGCAUAAGCUCUCAAUUUCUUGAUGGUAGGAACAGUCUCCAAUGAAUCCCUCCAAGCUUCAAAUUGUCUUGAUUCCUCAGCAAUAAUUGCCUGCGCUUCCAUUGCUUUUCGGAGGCGAUCUUCUUUAUUAGCAGCCACGACCUCCUUGAGAUCAUCCACAUUGUAAACUCGGGCAUUUUCAACAUCAUUGACACACGAACCCACAUUCCUCGGAACAGAGAUAUCUAUAAAUAACCUCAAACCCCCAGUCUCUGAACCAACAGAAGGAAGAUCCUUAACAUGUUCUUUCAAAAAUAAUGGAGUUUCUGAUGCUGUGCUAGUGAAAAUCACAUCAGCUUCAGCAGCACAAGCUAGCAUCUUAUCCAGGGGUUUGUAAAUAAUCUCAACAUCCUUUAGCUCCUCACGUACAGCUGCAACUCUAUCCUCGCUUCUGUUUACAAUGACCAUCUUUGUGCAACCCUUCGCUACCAAGUGUUUGAUCACAAGCUUCCCCAUCUUGCCAGCUCCAAUCACCAACAUUCUGGCAGUAGCAUGUGAAGAUUCAGGAAGCUUCAUCAAAGCCAAUUCAACAGCUGCAGAGCUUACAGAAACAGCCCCCGCAGCAAUAUUUGUCUCGGUCCUAACCCGCUUUCCAACAGAUAUUGCAUGUUUAAAUAGCCCACUAAUAUUCCUUCCAAACCCAACAACUCCUUGGCCAACUUUGACAACUUGUUUAACCUGGGCAAGAAUUUGGCCUUCUCCCAGAACAAGUGAGUCAAGACCAGCAGACACUUCAAAGAGAUGCUGCGUAGCAUCUUUGUUGUAGAGCAAAAACCGGUGCUCACAAAUUUCUGAAACAGGUAUGCCACUUGUCUGCCAGGGAAAAAAGAACAGUUUAGCAACCGGCAUCAAAAUGUUAAAACUUGAAACUAAUGUUAGUUCACUUCUCUGCACUUCAAAUCGCCUAUGAAGAUCAUGUCAUGUAAAUCAAAACAGACCGCAUGACUAUUAAAUAGCAAGAUAAAAACAGUUUCUUUCAAAACGAAAAAAUAAAUCAAAAUCUUCUGGUAUGAUUAAACAUUUAAGACAGUUCAUAUAAGUUUAAUUGCUCAAGAUAAUCUGCCCAAGGCACAUGAUAUAUUUAAUGCCCAUUCUAACCCCAACUUUCAAUUAUCAUUUGAAAAUUUUCCAUCCUCCCAUUGAAGUAGAUGAACUGCAAAAGGCUUCUUAAAAGCCAAAACAGGACCAAAUAUAACAAAGAAGGAAUCACCUUUGACAUCCAUUCAGUAACUUCUUUGACCCCACGAUGCUGAGAUAGUGCCACAACAUAUAUCUCCAUCCUAUUGCAGGUGCUAAGAACUGCAGCCUCUUCUAUAUGAUUUAAACCACACAAUUCCUCUAUAGCUCGAGGCCAUUCAGCUUCAGGAAUGGCAAGUUUUUCACGCAUUUCAACUGGUGCAGUGUGAACACUAAGCCCAAUGACCACAACGCUAGCCCUUUCCUUUGUAUAUCCUGAUGGAGACCAAUAAUAAAAUUGUCAGCAAAAGCAAACCAAAUACAAAAUCUCUGCAAUUCUACAAUAAUAGUAAAACCCAAAGAUGUCUUUUGAACUACAACUUAUGAUAUACAAUUCUCCACCACCCAAAUUGGAUAACUUGCAAAAUCCACAACCCAUCUCCCUUCCUCUCUCCUCCUCCUUUAGACACUGAAAAAUGAAAAUCCCAAUCACUGAACAGCGCCUGCCGGACACUAUAACCAGACUGAACCAUUUAUCCGAUGCUGAAACUUGACAAUUAAGGCAACAAAAUUCCAACACUCUUCAACUAUCCCAGAUGCACAUUUACGACUUUUUGAAAUGUCAGAGCAUACAGAAUGUUGCAGAACUGCUUAAAGCUCGGUUUUACUUUAAAACUUUCAUUUUCACUUAAAUUUCUUACUUGAAUUAUCCUAGAAAGUUAUCCUAAUUAUUAACUGAACAAACACAAGUCAAGCAUUUUCCCAACAAGACGAUCAAUUUGACUUGAAAAUGCAUGCAAUUUUCAUGCAGAACAAACAAAACGGUUCAAUCAGGACUAAACAUUCUAUAAAAAGCAGCUCAGAAAGGCAAAUAAGCAAUGCAUUGGCAAAAUUAACAACUAAGAAUCACACAUUAAAAAGCUAUCCAAAUGGAUAAGUUAGGCCUCACUAUCAGCGGCAGCGGUCUUGAGCUGUUCAAGAGCGGAAAAGCUAGAAACCUUAGCCGGAUCGAUAUUGUAGUCGGUUCCAACCGCGUCAUCCGUUGAAGCAGAAACCUCAAAUCUCACCCCUCCUCUCUGCAUUAAAAUCAUUCUACAAUUGUUCGGAGCCGGCCUGUAAAAAUUCUGUAUCUGCGAAGGCGAAGCCAAAUGAGCCCUCAAAGAAGACGACCCAAAUGAAGACGAUGAUGAAGACGUAGAAUUAAGUAACAAAGUCUCCAACUUGGCACCGGCCAAAGUGGUGGCAAAACCGCUCGAAACAACCAUAAUAAUGGGAGAAAAAAAUUUGCACCCACAAACCCAAAAACUGGGGGAGAGGAGGGGAGGGAAGAGAGGUUUAAUGGGGAAGUUGAAGGAAUUUGUAAAGAUGGAGGAAAGGGAAGGAAGGAUGGGAGUGUGGCGUCCUCUGGCCUUGGGUUUUGGUAUUUUUAUGAAACAAAAUUGGAAGAAUUAUGGACUUCCUUAAUGUUGGAAUCUGUAAAACGGUCCUGAUUGGGCAAAUAAACAGAAGGGAGGAGGAUUUGAUUUUGGGAUUUUCAGUUUUGGUUUUGUGAACUGUGAUUGGUUGG
rnacentral:misc_RNA from 1 species